ensembl:lncRNA DTX2P1-UPK3BP1-PMS2P11 DTX2P1-UPK3BP1-PMS2P11 readthrough, transcribed pseudogene
CUGUCUCAGCCAGCUGCCCUCCUCCUCCAAGCUGGCUCCACUUCUCUAAGCGCCAACAGCGAUGGAAAUAAAUAGCAUGUGUACAGACGCCUGGACCCUUGAGAAACUCAGAAUAUUUCUGCAUGCCUUCCUAGCUCCUCUAGCGCUCUAGAAGGUGCCUUGGAAUUUGUGUCGCUGAGUCAGCAAGCCUUUCAGAUUUGCCCGGUUUUUGUUGUUUGUGGUUUGUAUCAAGAUGGGAACUCAAACAAGUCAUUCCUCCUAAGGAGCUGGUGUCUUCAUCCAGAAGGGACAGUUUGUGCCAGCUCUCCAGAGAGAAAAGGAUCUGGUACUGUUCUGGAGUGGCCUGUAGCAGACACUGAACCACCAGCCAGCUGCAUUUGUUGUCCUGGAAGUCAUUGCCAACUCUGCCAGUCACACUGGGGUCCCCAAAGAAGUCAAGAUCUGCCGGAGGCGCUGGGCAAUGACCCCGGGACUCCAGGCCAGAGGGGUCUGAAGCUGUUUGGGAAAGCAGCGGGACUCCUUGGGAAGAUGGCCAUGGCCCCAAGCCCUUCCCUGGUGCAGGUGUACACC